UGAGCUGAAUGCAGAGCUGUAUAAUACAGAGUGGAGUCUUCAAGAAGCAAAUAAAAGGAAGCAUCGCAGUGAGGGGCUUGCUAUGUAGGUCUUUGUGUGUGCUCGAGUGUGUGUCUGUGUCAGAGUUAAGAAGAGAGUGUGUUUGCGAGCCUCCACGGAUGUGUGUGUGAUUCUAGGAGACAGAGCGUGCCGGGGCUUGUGCAUGUGAUUCGAUCCAGAGGGAAUGGAAGAAGAAACUGAUACACCAUCUGGGUCCAUUGCAGGGCAAAAAUCACCACCUCAGAUGGAACCUGAGAGUCCUUUGCUCAUCCCUCCAACAUCACAGGAUCCCAGAUCAGCCAACCAGAUGACCCCAACAUCCACCGUCUUCCUACACUAGCUAUUCUCAUUAAAACUCACAUCAUGGCAUGGUCCUUUCUUGUGAAAUGACCACUGCUUAUCACUUAGCUAAAGUUCCAUAUUACUGUAGGUCUGAUGGUGACAACUGAUCUCCAUUACAGCUAAACAAAGUCAGUAUGAGGAAUAAACAAUGCAGCUGAACAAAACUUCUGGGGAGACCUUGAGUUAAGAUUUCUUCUUUUGUCAAGCCUUCCUAAGUUUGUGUAUUAAGUUUGUUUUGUAUCCAUAAUUGCUGCCAAUCAAAUUCUAGAGCAGCUUUGAAGUGAAUUUUAACCACAGAUGAAAUGACACACGGUUUAGUCAUCACUUCUGUGCCUGCGGAUAUAUCUACUAUAUACUUAACUGUAUGCACUAGUAGAAAAUUAUAAAGCAUAAUAAAAAAAAUUACAGGA